GACGAACGCUGGCGGCGUGCUUAACACAUGCAAGUCGAACGGAAAGGCCCUGCUUUUGUGGGGUGCUCGAGUGGCGAACGGGUGAGUAACACGUGAGUAACCUGCCCUUGACUUUGGGAUAACUUCAGGAAACUGGGGCUAAUACCGGAUAGGAUCUCCUGCUGCAUGGUGGGGGUUGGAAAUUUUCGGCGGUUGGGGAUGGACUCGCGGCUUAUCAGCUUGUUGGUGGGGUAGUGGCUUACCAAGGCUUUGACGGGUAGCCGGCCUGAGAGGGUGACCGGCCACAUUGGGACUGCGAUACGGACCAGACUCCUACGGGAGGCAGCAGUGGGGAAUAUUGCACAAUGGGCGGAAGCCUGAUGCAGCAACGCCGCGUGCGGGAUGACGGCCUUCGGGUUGUAAACCGCUUUCGCCUGUGACGAAGCGUGAGUGACGGUAAUGGGUAAAGAAGCACCGGCUAACUACGUG
rnacentral:rRNA from 1 species